rnacentral:tRNA from 1 species
GCGCCCGUAGCUCAGCUGGAUAGAGCGUCGGUCUACGGAACCGAAGGUCGGGAGUUCGAAUCUCUCCGGGCGCGCUA